UACGUAGGGUGCAAGCGUUGUCCGGAAUUAUUGGGCGUAAAGAGCUCGUAGGCGGUUUGUCGCGUCUGCCGUGAAAGUCCGGGGGCUCAACUCCGGAUCUGCGGUGGGUACGGGCAGACUAGAGUGAUGUAGGGGAGACUGGAAUUCCUGGUGUAGCGGUGGAAUGCGCAGAUAUCAGGAGGAACACCGAUGGCGAAGGCAGGUCUCUGGGCAUUAACUGACGCUGAGGAGCGAAAGCAUGGGGAGCGAACAGG
rnacentral:rRNA from 1 species